AGUGAAUAGAUACCCUGGUAGUCCACGCUGUAAACGAUGAUCACUCGUUGUUGGCGAUAUACAGUCAGCGACUGAGCGAAAGCAUUAAGUGAUCCACCUGGGGAGUACGGCGGCAACGUUGAAACUCAAAGGAAUUGACGGGGCCCGCACAAGCGGAGGAGCAUGUGGUUUAAUUCGAUGAUACGCGAGGAACCUUACCUGGGCUUAAAUGCAGGACGACGUUUCGUGAAAGCGGAAUUUCCUUCGGGACGUCUUGCAAGGUGCUGCAUGGUUGUCGUCAGCUCGUGCCGUGAGGUGUCGGGUUAAGUCCCAUAACGAGCGCAACCCUUAUCAUUAGUUGCCAUCAGGUCAAGCUGGGAACUCUAAUGAAACUGCCUACGCAAGUAGUGAGGAAGGUGGGGAUGACGUCAAAUCAGCACGGCCCUUAUGUCCAGGGCGACACACGUGCUACAAUGGCCAGUACAGAGGGUUGCUACCUGGUGACAGGAUGCUAAUCUCAAAACGCUGGUCUCAGUUC
rnacentral:rRNA from 1 species